CCAUCAUGGAGCGGGAACGGCUCUGCCGGGACAAGCGCAGAUCCUGGCGGGGUGUGGUAACACCGAGCCCCGUGCAACAAGAAACGGAAGGGGAGUGCAUUUGUAAAUAAUUUACUAGAAUGACCUACAUGCUACCAAGCCUUUGUUCCCUCUUAUGCAGUCAGUAGAGAACCACACAGCCUCAGAGAAUGAAGUCUGAGGACCGAACGCUGAGAGGUGACACAGAGCAGAGGCAUCUGAGCCUUUCCUGUGGGAAGGCAGCCUGAGGUGCCUUCAGAGUUUCUAAGCUUUUCCAAGCUUUGUGGAGAAGCGGGAGAGGGAGAGAUGUCCCACAGCCCUGCGGAGGGAGCAGGGAGGGGACAGCUUGCUGAUGGUGCUUGUCACGUGUUUGGAGCUGCCAGCGCUGCACUGGGGCGGCAGCGUGUGCAUGGAGAGGGAGAGCUAUGGUGGAGGAAUCAAGGCCUGGGCUAAUUGCCAGCAAAGGAAAGCAGAUCGUGCUCUUCAUGAGAGCAGAGAAACUGGGCCUGGUGUGUGAGCUGCCUUUGAGAGCUGGCUGGAGAUGGGACUCCACGAUGCCCAGCUACAUGGCACAGUUCCCUGGACAUUGCCAAGCCAUGGUGGCCUUGGGGAUCGACAGCAGGACGCUUCCUCUCUGCAAUCUUUGCCUUCUGUCAUGGGAUGAGGUGUGGUGCACAAACGUGAAACAUCAGUCACUAGCCACCGGUGGGGCCAAAGGAAGGCUACUGCUCACGCUUGUUGCUACUUUCUUCUUCUUUAUAAUUCUGCUCUGUCAAUCGUGUGAUUAUAGAAGAAUCUCAGUUUUCAGCUAAGAAAUGUAUGCUUUUCUUGCUGGCUCUUGCAGAGACAAACCUGGAAAUUCUAGAGUGUUGAGUCCAAAGACUGAAGAGUCAGAAGAUGAACAAGCACAGAAUCCAACGUUACUGGUUUUCCAAAUUUUUUAAUUGUAUUGUUUAGGUGACUGACAGUAUUUUGGAACCCCUCUCUCGAAGGUUUGGGAUUAGCUGUCCCAAAAAGAAGAGCAUGUUGGCUGCCUAGUGCUACUUGGGAAUGUCAAAAUCCCAGCCCAUGGCUCUGCAGAACUCGCUUAGUCUCUCUUGCUCAGAAGCCCAGGACCACCUUCUGAGGCUCGGAGAGAAAAGCUGGUCAGGUUUUCUCUGUGAGCUCUGCUUCACGUGGCAGUCCAGCUGGACAGCCCUGCCAGCAGCAGGAGCUGUGGCCCCACCAUGGCUACCUGGCCUCCCCUGUGAAGCAGAAGUAGCACUGGCAUUUCUUAGCAGGUGAGGAUCCACCCAGCACACUGCUGCAGUACCUGGCAUCUUUGUGUCUGCCCUGACCAUUCCACUCGGCACCAACAGCAUGUGCACAACCUGUGCUUCUUUGUUUUUGGCUGUGGCUUCUCUGUGGACAGACUUGCUAUCUCUGGGCCUACAGAGAUGAUUCACAUUUCUCCAUUUUUAGACAUAAUAAUAAUAAUAAUAACCAGUGUCUUCUGACUCCCACUUGUGCUGCCCCUCAGUGUGUGCACCUCGGCCCUGGGAGCCGAGGAGCUGUACCCACUCAUUGCUGCUGAAGUUGGCUGACCUCAGUGCAGGGAUGGGAUGCGGGGUGGAGGUGUGCAGCUCUUCCCGAGUCCACAUUGCUCAGUCGGUCACCUCUUAUCUCACUGAUGGAUCGAAACCCCACGAAUUCACGCUGUGGUGGAUGUGACUGUGUCCGUUGCAAACGCAGCUGUUCCAAAACGCAAACCAGAAUUUUUAAGUGCUGCUGAAGUGGUGAAAACCCUUUGAGGAGCAGGUGUGGGGCCGGUGGAUGGCAAAACCUUCCUCAGUGAAACUGCUCAAAAGAGCAAGUCUGUUAACGAACAGAGGGUCUGUGUCCGGGUCCAACAGCACUGGCAGAUGGCAAGAGCCAGCAGCAAGAGUGAGCAGUGCACCCUAGGAAAAGCAUCCAGAAUAAACCAGGAAGGUGAAGGAACGCGUCAGUCUAAGCCUUGCUUCCUGAAGCGGCACAAAGCCCGUCCCAGGAAGGAGUGCUGCUGCAGCGACAGAGCGGUGCAGUGGGAUGUCUGCCCCAGAGCUGUGCUGCGUGCGGCCCCCGAAGUGCACGUGGGCAGGGCUGGUUUUUCCAUCUCUCUUUACUACCAGAAAAAGCAAAGCACCCCUCUGAGCGUGCUCGCCGGACUAGGAGGAGCGUGCACGCAUGUGUGUUUGCGGGUGCACAACGCCGAGCACGUGAACAGCGGCCGCAGGGUGUCAUGGAGCAUGCAGCCCACGCAGGGCCGGGCCGGGCCGGGCGUGCUGACGGCAGCGUGGCUGUGGCGGGCAGGGCUCCUCCGUGCGCUGAUGAAACGCAGCUGGGCUCCGCAACCAGCUCACUUGGUAGAGAAGAGUCUAGAAGGGCUCGUGCCAGCUAUAAACAGAGCGAUCAGCAUACACAGGAUGUGGUGAGCAGCUACAGGCGUCCCGUUAUUAACUUCACUUUUAUUUCAAGGGGAUUCACUUCUCUGUUCUGUUUCCCAUUUGGGAAGUGAAACCUAAGACCACGGCACCACUUAGCAGAAAGAAUUUGGUCGCUGCUCAUUUGUUUUUCUAGUUGAUUCUUCUUUUUCUCCUGCAAAGGUUACUCCGCUGUUCCUUUGACAGAAUUCAUGGAAAUUACUGGCAGCGCGCUGACUCUUCGCUCUCUGUUUCUCUCCUGAGGAAUUAUCUCAUCUGCGCUCAUUGAAGACUGUUGACUCUGAGGGGAGUGUUUACUUGAGGACACCUCGCCUGGCCAGGAAGGAGCAAUGCGGAGAGCGAGCGCUGGUUCCUCCCAGUCACAGCCCAACCAGCCUGUGCUGCGCCGAGGUGCUUUGUAAACAUUUGUUCAUCCUUGCACACACCUCCCACCCCCCGUAAGGUGAGGAAAUGUUAUUGCCACCUUUCCACAGAUGGAAGAAGUGAGCACAGAGAGGUGCGGUGACUCAUCGGCCGCAGCUGAGGCAGAGCUGGAGCUGCGGAGCCAAUCUCCCAGCCCUGACAUUGCCGGCAGUCACGUUCUCACCCGGCGCUGGGACGUGGGCAGCGCCAGCCCCAUCCACCUGCCGCCCACCUGUCCUGGGAGGCGGCAGCGUGCAUCUCAGCGUGUACAGAAAGAGAUCAGAUCGCCGUGGCUUGCUCCAUGUGCUGGUGUCAUCGCAGCAUGGUCUGGGCAGGAUGCGCUGUGAUCAGAUUCACCGUACCCGAGGGAAGGGUAGAGUUUGCUCUACACAUCUGUUCAUUUUUAAGUAAAACGCUCGGUACUUUCUUCUUUUAAAUGAAACCUUUGAGACAGGUCAUCCUCAUUAAGCUUGCACCUAGCUGCCUCUUGCCUAGCCAGCUGUAAAACCAGUGUUCAUUGCCACAGUGAAGCCCAAAGAAGGAACCUCCUUGACAUCUGUGGGCUUUGGGACAGUUCGGGAGCCUGGUCCUGCAUGUGUUGAGGGGCAUGGCCAAACACCCAUGAAUUUCAAGGCAUGAGAAACCAGGGUCUCAGUGGUGCUUAGGAGCAGGGAGGACACGCAGCCGAGCACCUGGACCGUUACAGGCCUCCCUGCAUCUCGUCCUACCUUGGUGUGUGGUUCUGAAGAGCACUGGGACCUUGUAGGUGUAGGGGAGUAGAGAGGAAGAUGUCUCUUACUCUGGCCCUCCUUCAGGCAGCAGCACCACCUAAGGCUGCAGAGCCCAGGCUCCCUGCCUUCGCUGAGAGUCAGGCUGGAACUGCAGGGUGUGGGGAAGGCAGGCCAGGCCAUGAAGGGGAUGGAGAACGUGGGCCAACGUGUUGGGGAGGCUGGAGUCAGCACCUUUUGUCCAGAGAAACAGAGGGCCCUCUGUAGUGGAACUGGCAGAGAGUUAAUCUCAUAGUUAAACUGUUACUGGGCUUCACCUGCUCUUAUCCCUCCAUGGUGCAAGGGGCAAGGGGCUCAGUAGGUCAACUGGCACUGGGACCUGACAGCAAUUAAAGGGACCCCGCCGAGGCCCAGGAUUUGACCCGCGCUUUUUUGGUUAGGUCCCUUUCCACACCAUAUCAGUCCUCACAGAUGUCAUUUGUGCUUCAGUGUGGUUUGUGCUAAACAAAGUAAAGCCUUGCAAAGCGGAACACGCGGCCCAAAGCCAGGGAUGUACCAAAUAGAACUCACAAGCCACCGUACAGUAACAUGCACAGGGCACUCACGAGAGCAGUCCCAAUGUAACUGACGGGUACGUGGCUGUUGAGUCCGUGCAAAACAUGGUACCUGAAUGUCAGGAGUCCCGGAAGGGGAAGACAGCAGUGCCAGCAGUGAGGUUUUGAGAGGCACACGAAACAACUAGUUGAGAAGGAGUUACAAAUCCAGGGCAAACGCCCAGGCAAUACCCCACCUUCUUCUCAUAAGAGGCAUAUAGCCAACACCCCAUCAUACUGGUAAUCAGGGCCCUGGAUAAUGUGGGGUUUGUUUGCUGCUAAUAUAGCCAUUGUAUCUACCCUAGCUGCAGAGCCCUGCUCCUGAACUGAGGCACCAGGACUGCAAGUUACAGCUCUGCUGGCUGAGAGCUUUCUGAAUGGGAACACAGAGCAACCCUCCCUGUCUCUACACAUUCUAGCUCAGCAACGUGUGCUACACCCAUUCAUCUGAACGCAGAAAUAGCUCUGAAACUCAUGAUAAGGCCUUAAAUGCCAUCACACAGCUCAUUUAUUUCCCCACUGUCCCGAAGUGCUUCCCAGGUGCUGAAAUCCUGGCUGCCAAAACCUCCAUAGCCUCUGCCGACAACCUCAGUGACAUAGCUCUGCGUUGCAGCACCUUCCCUGCUGCUGCGGGCAGGGUGCUGCCAGAGGCUGUGCGUUCAGCCACAAGACGCCAGGAGCACUGAGGGUGGUCGCUGUGCCUGGCACGCAGCUGGGGAACCGAGGCCCCUAAGGGACGUGCCAUGUCCCCACACAGAGGGGAAGCGUGUGCCAGAGCAGCAGCAGCAGCCGGUGCCUCUCUUUUUCCAUGCGUCUGUCCCCUCCUCAAAGCAAUUUAGCAAUUUUCUUCGCCUUGAUGCCAGUGGCAUUACAUAAGUGUAACCUGGUUGUGAGAUCACGAUACGACACGUCGAUUAGCCAGGGAGGCACAAGGUCAUAACCAGCCUGAGGAAGGAGAGGCAGGCUGUGCAUACACACAAACACACCUAGGUGGAUGUAUAUAAACACACGUGGGCCCCUGGUGUUCCCAUCGCAGAUGUGCUGUGCGUGGCACAUGUCAGCCGGGGCAGGCUAUCGACCGCUGCCUGUGUUUCUGCAUCAGAACCUUUCGGUUUUCCCUUUCAGGCUUGGAGUUACUUCUCUUUUACAUAAAUAGCACCACUCGAGGCUGCCUUCCCGAUAGGUGGAAUAGUUUCCCCUUGAGAAGGAACUGGUGGAAAUCCCCUCUCUUGAGACAUUUUAACUCUGCCAAAAAAUGUACAAUGGGAGUGACUGCUUUAACUAGCAAGCUGACUUUGGAUGAGCUAAUGGAUUUUUCCAUCACUAGUGUCUAGUUCCAGGGAUUUCCAUGAAUUGCUGUCAGGACAGAAGAAGGCAACAGAUUGCAACUGCGGGAUCUGCUGUUUCAGCUCCACUGACACGUCAUUCCCUCAGGACACCCAGUGACCUGGUUAAUCUAGUUCCUUGCUUCUGACUUCUCCUCGUAAAUGAUUUAUCAACUGGCGUGGAUCCCUGUUUGCUUAAGGAGGCGUGUGACGACCUCUCGCAGGCUGGCUGCACAGAGCCACGGCUGUGUUUGGCAGCCGGCUGCCGGCCGCAGCUCGUGACCCUUGGCUGGGGGAGCAGGGGAUGGGCAGCAGAGCCCGGUGGGUGAUGUUUAUGAGGCUGGCCGGAGGGCGCUGGUGACCAAGCUGCAGGCUCGGCAGUGGGAGCACUCGCCUAGGACCUGCCUCAGCCCACUCUGACCCCCAGGGUAUGAAGGCGCGGUGGGCAGAGGGUUGGCGUGGGCUGUGACUGCCCGCCACGGGAGCGCCAGCUGCACCAGAGCCAUCCUUGAGGUCCCUGCUCUCCACGGAGGAAAUAACGCCAACUUUGGUCCGUUGCCUUGUCCACAGCGAGGCAGCAUCCGUGGGGUGACAUCAGUGUCACGUCUGAAGCAGAUGCAGCUCUGGAAGUCUUCACGUGCACACGUAGGUCAGUAUGCGUGUCACCACACACACAGCACGGCUGUAAGAAAGAGACGGUACAGAUCUGAACUCAGUCAGAAGCCAGGGAGAGAGGAUGGAAAUGACUCCUGCAAGCUUUACAUCCUGCCUUUGUACCUGGGCUAAAGGAGCGUGGAAAGAGAUCAGAUAGCACAAAUUGGGCACCCUUCUAAAAAACUGUCUAUGGGCAACUCCCCGCCUUCCCUCCAGGCCAGUUAUUGCCACUUCCUGCUCUGAUUGUUUCAAAUCCGGUUAUCUGGAGUUAUGCCUGUUCUGGCAAAUACGGUGCAGCAGAGGGGAGGGACCGUUCCAGCCAGCGCUGUAUGCAUGCCACAGAUCGCAGAGAUUAGCAUGGGAGGAACCGCAGGGAUGAGCUGCUUGAGGCAAAUAGUGGGAAGCUUACAACAGAGCUGCUUAACAAUUACAGUCAUGAAACUGUAGGACAAAAUCUUUAUUUUGGGGACACGAGGCCGCGCUGGGUUUCCAGCUGGCGGGAGGUUGUCUUGUAGGGGCAGCACGUGGCAGUAAGGCGAGGAGGAAGCCCACCACAGCCAGCCCACUCCCCAGCAGCGCCGUGUCGCACCACCCGAAGGCCACACAUCAUCAGGAGGGCUGGGCUGCAGCGAGGAACCUGCAGCCACAUGCAGGCAGAGGCAAGGGUGUGUUCCUUCCCGCAUAAGGGUGGGUCUGGAGCAGCCUGCAGCUUCAUGGGACCUCAGGGGUGGUCGUUCCUCUUAGCCCACAAGGGUGGAAGUUGCAGCUCCUGUUCCCUUUUUCGGGGUCACGCCACCUUCUUCUGCCUCAGCAGGAACCUCUGUGUUCACGCCCCAUGUGCUCCCACUGCACACCUCCUACAGCAGACCAACAGCGUGGAAGGACAGACAGCUGGCAGAGCGUGUGAGGGCUAAUCCCACCUCACCAGGAGCACCACAGCCACUCUGCUGCUCAAAUCCCAAACCCGCGUCCCCAACAACGAGUUCAGUCUAGGCUGGUCUCCCAUGUGCCCCAUGAGAUGCUCAUCAUAGUAACAAAGCAGAGAGGUGGGACGGGAGAAGAGGCAGAGGCCAAUGAGUUAUCCCGAAAUCAUAUUUCUAACCUUCUAAUAUGUGUGGAUUUGCCUCAGACGUAACUUCAGUCCGAAUUCCCAAGUGCUGAUAGAUUUGUGAGUGGAUAACACAAGGCUCAGGCUUAGCAACAAGCCCGAGCUCACUGACUUCACACCGCCUGUCCCAUACACCGUCUCGCUCUCCAAACAGCAGAGAGGAGCCUGGUCCGUGUAGGAACUAUGUCCUUCCAAGCAGCACAAGUACUCCUGACUCUAACCCCUUGGAACUCAAACGCAUUUACCAGGGACAGCACAGAUGCAAGUGAUGCAAGUACAAAACUCCCCAAAAACAUUCCCGUGUCCCUAGGGCACUGAAACAAGAGCCAGGAUUUCUCAUUGACCUCCUCCGUGGCAGGUGCACAGGUUUAGCAACUACGCACUAAAGAGAGCAGCCAGAAACCAUUUGGCAGAGACAGGACCAGAACCUGCUUCCUCUCAUCUCCAGCUGCCCAGGUUGCUCAGAAUCAUAGAAUCAUUAAGGUUGGAAAAGACCACUAAGGUCAUCCAGUUCAGCCAUCCGCCUACCACCACUGUUGCCCACUAAACCAUGUUCCUUAGUACCACAACUACACGUUCCUCCAACACCUCCAGGGGCAGCUUCCAAGUGCCUGGCUUUGUUCCGGUCCUGGCAACACAGGGCGAUUUUCUGGUCUUUCUUUUCUAUAUCCGAAAGGGUUUUUAAUUUGCAUUUUUUACCACAACCAAUCGCAGAUAUUUUCAUUGAACUGUUCACGCAGAAACCAUUUUAUUGAGCUGUUCUGGUUUUGGUGUGCUUAAAUCAUCCAGCUGGCAGAGCAGGCUAGUGCAUGACAGUGAAGUCACAUACCUCUCUGCUGGAUCUGACCGUAGGAGAUCCUACCAGGUCAAGGUUGCAGCUGCGUGUCACGCAGUCGUGGCAUCCAAAGUUACCGUCGCUCUUUGAGGAAGACUGGCUCGGAGCUGAGAGGCAGCUGACCACGGUUUCUUAUCCAGGUCCCCUGCUGAUGAGGCUCAGACUAAAUCUGCUGGCAAAACCUAACAAGAUUGCAAGCAGAAGGACACAGCUACGGAUAAAUAGAAGUGAGGGGAAUAAUAGCCUGCUUUUCUUGGACUGGGUCCAAUAUUCACUAAAGGGAUUCCCAUGAGCAUCAGUAGGAUUCCAAUCAGAACAUAAAUUCCUUAUAAAUUUUCUUCUACUUUAUUAAACCAUAAAAAAAAAUCAACCCAGCCCCCCCCUCUCCCCCCAAUAAUCACACACACACACACACAAACCAGCCUAACAACUAUUUUAAGAGCCGUUUCCCCCUUUUCUUAAAUAUUUAUUCUCCUUUCUGCUCUUUCUCAGUAGCAGGAAGGCCAGAUUGCUUCUCUGACAGCUCCGUGACCUGACAGCUGCCCACAGUCUGAGCAGUGCUGCUCCUGACCAGGAGAGCCAACCUGCUGCGAGCUGCUGCAGCUCAGUGCACGAGUGCUGGGGGAACAUCCAGCUCGCAGGACGGCUAUUCACUAAGGGCCCCAACAGGACAUCCUUCCUGUAUUAGUAUUGCCUCCCUGAACUAUCAAUUAAAAAGAACGCCACAAUUCUGUACCCUGUGGAUGCCGCCUGCCUUCUGUGCGCGCACAAAUCCCGCUACGAGAGGUACUGUAAGUACUGAGGUGUUAAAGACGCCAGAGGGUGCCCAGUGGGAUUUCAGAAGAGCAGCGGUCCCGACUGCUUUGGAUGUCAGCGCAGGUCGGACGUGUGAGCCCCAGGCCCCGCCUGUAGGGCCCCACCACCUUUGGAAUCUGGUUCCCUCAGCUCCCUCUGUGAAUACGGCAGUUAGCUCCCAGGGUAUUGCGAGGAUGGAAAAAGUAAAGACUAUGAGUUCUCAGGAAAUAUUGAAACGGGGUCAACUGAGUAACAUUUAAGUCAAUUAGAAAGACGGUCUGUUAACAGUCUGUUAAUAGCUGGCUGAGAUGGAUUCCCAUGAUUCCCGGUGCCAGCAUCUCCGCUCACACAAGGAAAUAUUUAUGACUCUUCUCCCUCAAAAGCCUGGUUAACCUCAUUUAAAGCAGAGAGCACGAAGAUAGAUCUAUCAACAUUAGGGACAUCAACUCUCCCUUUUUGUCCCCACGAUUACAAGAGAAAAGGAGAAUUCAAACCUUAAAGUGGGAAGUGAAUUACGCAGAGUGGCCGCAGAUGGGAGCCAUUAAAUGCCCGGCUGCGUUUUUUUAAUUGAAACAAUACAGCAAUUUACUAUACAAAUAGCUCUGGCAGAGCGCUGCUCUGGUGCUGUGGAAGCUGCCCGCCCCGCGUCCCACGGGUCACACACGGCAGCACGGCGCGGACCUCCCGCUCCCAGCAGAGCCGCCGGCACCCGGGGCGAGGCGCACCCCUGGGCACAGCACCGCGGCUCCGCCUCGCUUUCCAGACGACUCCAGGAACGUCAGGACGAGCUCCCAGCGGCAGCUCCCGGCCCAUUACCAAAUACAGAGUCCAGAGGGAAGCGAGUCCUCGCUCCUCCUUUUGGGCGAGGCGAAGGGGAAAAAACAAAGCCGGAUGGGUCCCACUGUCAUCUUGACUGCCCGCGGGUUUUGGUCUGAGCUCCCGAAGCUUUAGGCCUGCCUGUAAGUCCAGCUUUGAAAGGGAAGGCGUUUAUUUUCAGUUUUCUGACGAGUGAGUAAUGGGGCUGCCAUCUAGAGGCCACUGCAACUUUCCAGCACAUUCCUUCGGACAGGAGUGGCAUUGUCAAUAACCUCCUCCUCCCACUACCUCCUCAUGAAGGACUUCUCGCUUCUAAAUGAAACUGUUACAGUACAAAGCACUUCUCCAUCCACAUCCCUGCCCACGGCGGCGGGCUGGAACUGGGUGAUCUUUAGCGUCCCCUCCAACCUGAGCCAUUCUAUGAUUGUGUCAUCUCUCAUUCAACGAUUGCAAAUUCUGCCUUAAUCAAUCCGGCUUAAGAAGGAGCUCUACUGAUAGGUAAUCUGUGUAUCCGCUGCAGGAAUGGGAUGCUGGGAGUGCUGGCUCUAUGAGUCUCAACUCCAUCCUUCCAUCCUGUCCCUGAGCUGAACAGCACCAGCCAAACUGGGCCAAACUCAGCGGGAUCCACUUUAGACCCUGCCUUGCAUAGAAGUCGGCUGCUGCAAAUGUGAACAGGAGGCAGAUACAGGGCAGCCAUGGCCACCCACCGCUCACCACGUGAGCUGCCUGCUCACUUGUGCUAAACCCUGUGCCCAAAUGGAGCGGCCCGGCAGGCUGCAGGGCAGCAGGGAGUGAGGGCCGCACUGUGCUGCGCAGGCCUGGCAGCAGAGGAACCCCACUCCAGUGCUUUGCAGAGCACUUCAAAUUUGCUUGCAGACUGCCUGCCUCGCACCCCGCACCCACCAAUUGCAAAAUCCCCUGUUGAUAUGACUAAGAGUCACGCUCUGCAGCCUCAGCUUUGGGUUCUACCUCUCUCGGUCCUGAAAUGGGGACAGGGAAGUGCCAGAUGCUUUCUGUUCUCCUUGCUCAGGACUCUGCGACCAUGGGUGUUUUUGAGUCAGCGGUGCUCAAGGGACCUUUCAGUCAGCAUAACUGCGUGAGUGGCCAAAUAAAAACAGGCCCAAACGCCAAUGGGGCUCUGCUUACAUCAAGGAAAGGGGAAGCAGCUCUUCUACAGCGAGCGCUAGCUCGCAAGAGGCGGCUAAAAAUAGGGCUGCCCUCUACAACACUUCCGUCCUGCCUUUGACACGCUCGCGGCUUUCAUGUCCCAUCGGCCCCGCCAUUUCCUCGCCCCACACUCGGCAUCGCCCCACAGCCCUUCCUGUCCGCGCGGGGCUUUGAAGCAUGGGCAGCUCCCUCACGCCAGAUGGCAGAGGGCACUUCCUCUGCUUUCUUCACUCUUUUUGAGUGCUUUGGUCACAAGUGAGAAGUGGGGCGGGUCCCGGUGAAGGUCUCGCCCCAAGAAGACGCUGGAAGUCCCAGAGGUGACCAAGACAAGGAAGGCGUUCCACAGUGGAGUGUUUUCAAGGGUGUUUUCCUCGGUAAAUGAAAUGAUGGGAAGUGUUUCUGUCGAUACCUCCAGGACAACAUUCCCAAGUAUUGGCUUUCAGUUUUGGCAUUUGUUCCUGGAGGAUCGGGGGCUGGAAAUGGCACAGACCUGCUUCUCGGAAUUAGCAGGAAAACAAAGGAGCAAUGUGCAGGAGGGGAUGUGAAGGGGCCGAUGCCUGUCAGCAGGCAGUGACACCGCACGGCUGGCAGAUGAUGGCCCAUGGAAGAUGGCAGCACAGCAGCAGCAGCGUGCCAUCAGAGCAGCAGAGCCCUGGUUCUGCCUGCAUGUCUGUGAGAAGAGGCACGGGACAGAGCUCAGUGUGGGCGGGCUGUUAGGCUGAGGAAAAGGCGAUGACUUCUCUUAACCUCAGUGAAGCAGACUGUUGAGAAGGCCUGUGCAUUUGCCCAAGGUUUUCCAGAUGCUGAGUAAAUAAAAUCCCUGAGAAGCUGGACCAGUUGGCACCUCGUUUACCUUUGUCUUCCCUGCUUUUCAGCCCAGCAGGUACCCUGAUGUCCUGAUAAGGACAAACAGGAUGAGGCACGUUCACAGGACCACAAGAGGACAGAGCAGCUCACCACCGUACUGUCAGAUGGCAGGAGCUGAGUCCCG
rnacentral:lncRNA from 1 species